CCUGUUUAUCUUAGUGGCGGACGGGUGAGUAACGCGUGGGUAACCUGCCCUGUACAGGGGGAUAACACUUAGAAAUAGGUGCUAAAACCGCAUAAGCGCACAGUACCGCAUGGUACAGUGUGAAAAACUCCGGUGGUAUAGGAUGGACCCGCGUCUGAUUAGCUGGUUGGAGGGGUAACGGCCCACCAAGGCGACGAUCAGUAGCCGGCCUGAGAGGGUGAACGGCCACAUUGGGACUGAGACACGGCCCAAACUCCUACGGAAGGCAGCAG
rnacentral:rRNA from 1 species